rnacentral:tRNA from 1 species
UGCCCCGUAGCUCAGUGGAUGAGAGCGCCGCCGUGCGGAGGCGGAGGUCGCACGUUCGAGUCGUGCCGGGGCAGCCA